AUUUUGUCUUCUGUUGUAUACACCCCUAAGAAAACUGUGCUUCAUAUAUGAUGUACAUGCAUUUAAAAGGCAACUACUUUCUUAAACUUCAUACUGACUGGCGUGCAUUUAUUGUUCACUGCAGUGAACAUAUUCAGCGACAAGGAAUGCAGAAUGUGUUAAGUGCACAAGACCAUGGGUUUCAGACCCUGUAGAAUUUUGCAGCCUAAUAUUCC